rnacentral:rRNA from 1 species
AUUGAACGCUGGCGGCAUGCUUUACACAUGCAAGUCGAACGGUAACAGGCCUUCGGGUGCUGACGAGUGGCGAACGGGUGCGUAAUGCAUCGGAACGUACCCAGAGGUGGGGGAUAACGCAGCGAAAGCUGUGCUAAUACAGCAUGUGAUCUGAGGCUGACAGCGGGGGACCGAGCAGCAAUGUUUGGCCUCGCGCCUUUGGAGCGGCCGAUGUCGGAUUAGCUAGUUGGUGGGGUAAAGGCCUACCAAGGCGACGAUCCGUAGCUGGUCUGAGAGGACGACCAGCCACACUGGGACUGAGACACGGCCCAGACUCCUACGGGAGGCAGCAGUGGGGAAUUUUGGACAAUGGGCGCAAGCCUGAUCCAGCAAUGCCGCGUGCGGGAAGAAGGCCUUCGGGUUGUAAACCGCUUUUGGCAGGAACGAAACGGUGUCCGCUAAUACCGGGCGCUAAUGACGGUACCUGCAGAAUAGGCACCGGCUAACUACGUG